UUAAGUGAACAAGGGCAUACGGCGGAUGCCUUGGCGCCAAGAGCCGACGAAGGACGCGGUAAGCUGCGAAAAGGCAUGGGUAGGAGCAAGCAUCCUGUGAUCCAUGCAUAUCCGAAUGGGGCAACCCACCAUCAGUCAUGUGAUGGUACGAAAGAGGCAGACCUGGGGAACUGAAACAUCUAAGUACCCAGAGGAAAAGUAAUCAAUUGAGAUUCCCUAAGUAGCGGCGAGCGAAAGGGGAAGAGCCCAAACCAGAUAACUUCGGUUGUCUGGGGUUGAGGACCGGCAAAAAGAGGAAACUUCUUAGUCGAAUGGUUUGGAAAGGCCAUGCACAGAAGGUAAAACACCUGUAGGCGAAAAGAAGUCAAUCGGGCUGGUAUCCAGAGUACUGCGAGACACGUGAAACCUUGCAGGAAGCAGGGGGGACCACCCUCCAAGGCAAAAUACUACUUGGCGACCGAUAGCGCAUAGUACCGUGAGGGAAAGGUGAAAAGAACCCCGGGAGGGGAGUGAAAUAGAACCUGAAACCGUAUGUCUACAAGCAGUCGAAGCACCUUAAGAGUGCGACGGCGUGCCUAUUGAAGAAUGAACCGGCGAGUUACAUUAUGUUGCGAGGUUAAGUGGGAGACACGGAGCCGAAGCGAAAGCGAGUCUUAAUAGGGCGACUAGUAACAUGGUGUAGACCCGAAACCGCAGUGAUCUAUCCAUGGUCAGGUUGAAGCGCAGGUAAAAAUGCGUGGAGGACCGAACCCGUGAGUGUUGAAAAACUUUGGGAUGAACCGUGGAUAGGGGUGAAAUGCCAAUCGAACGCGGAGAUAGCUGGUACUCCCCGAAAUAGCUUUAGGGCUAGCCUCAGGGAAGAUUAUAGACGGUAGAGCACUGAUCUGGCAAGGGGGCGUAAAGCCUACCGACCCUAGUCAAACUUCGAAUGGCUAUAAUUAAGACCCUGGGAGUCAGACUGCGAGUGAUAAGACCCGUAGUCAAGAGGGAAACAGCCCAGACCGCCGACUAAGGUCCCCAAUGCUGUACUAAGUGGAAAAGGAUGUAAGACUUCAUAAACAACCAGGAUGUUGGCUUAGAAGCAGCCACCAUUAAAAGAGUGCGUAAUAGCUCACUGGUCGAGAGGCCUUGCGCCGAAGAUGUCCGGGGCUCAAGUACAGAACCGAAGUCGCGGCAGGAUUAUAUAAUUCUGGGUAGGGGAGCGUUGUAUAUCCGACUGAAGGUGUACCGGAAGGAGCGCUGGAGGAUAUACAAGAGAGAAUGCCGGUAUGAGUAGCGAAAAGAACAGUGAGAAUCUGUUCCACCGAAAGCCUAAGGUUUCCUGAGCAACGCUCGUCGACUCAGGGUAAGUCGGGACCUAAGCCGAGGCAAAAAGCAUAGGCGAUGGACAACAGGUUAAUAUUCCUGUACCGCUUCAAAUCGUUUGAGCAAUGGAGUGACACAGAAGGUAGCUUGAGCACGCGAAUGGAUGUGCGUGUCGAAGGUGGUAGGUUGCAGUAUAGGCAAAUCCGUACUGUAUAAGACCGAGAACUGAUAGAUAGACGAUACUUCGGUAAAGUCAAAUUCAAGUGAGCCAUGCUGUCGAGAAAAGCUUCUAGUGAGAGAUGAGGCGCCCGUACCGAAACCGACACAGGUAGGCGGGGAGAGAAUCCUAAGGUGCGCGGGACAACCCUCGUUAAGGAACUCGGCAAAUUGUAUCCGUAACUUAGGGAUAAGGAUAGCCGGAGGAUGUGAAGGGAUUUACUUCUGGAGCGUCAGCCGGUGGCACAAGAGAGGCCCAAGCGACUGUUUAGCACAAACACAGGUGCCUGCAAAAGAGAAAUCUGACGUAUAGGUGCUGACACCUGCCCGGUGCUGGAAGGUUAAGAGGAGGGCUUAGAGGCAACUCGAAGGCUUGAAUUGAAGCCCCAGUAAACGGCGGCCGUAACUAUAACGGUCCUAAGGUAGCGAAAUUCCUUGUCGGGUAAG
rnacentral:rRNA from 1 species